AUCGAUUCGACUAGUCUGUAUAGUAUGUGGCAAUCUGGCCGAUCGAAAGAAGUGUAAAGCAACACGAAAUGCGUGUACCAAUUGUUAAUUGCUGAAGAAGAAUUAAUCCUGCAAAAACCCAAAUGAGUUGCAUGGACGUAAUUCCGGUUGUGGGUCAUGCUAAAUCGCUGUUUUAUUACUUUCAAGGCCAGAAUAAUUUGGCAGCAGAAGCAUUCAAACGUUCAACACAUAAUACAGGAGCAUUAUGUUUUGGUGUUAUUGGAGAUUCCCUGAUAGGUCCUCCAGGAACCUUCAUUGGGGGUAUUUCCGGAGGUUUAGCUAGUGAUGCAGUAAUCAGUGCACUGAGUUUACAGUGCUACGGGUAUAUGAUAUACGCAAAAAGAGUGUUGAAUUGGAAUAUGAUGCUAGAGGAUUGGGACGGUUUAGUACGUUUAGCAAUAAAGGAUGGACUACUUGGAUUAGCAGGCUUUAUCAUGUGUAACUGUACAGGCAUAAAUAUAAACCAUGACGGUUGUUCUUUUUACUGUGAGUGAUAUAUUGAUGUCUCGAGUUGAUGCUGGUGUGAUAAUAACUAAAGCUUUGUGAUAUUCUCUAUUCAUUAUACAUAGUUAUAAUAUAGAAUACUAAAAUCAUUACAAACCCUGAUUAAAAUGCCACCUACAGUGUGUUAAAACAUUUUAUUCAUUUAAAAGAAAUCGAGUGUUGUUGUCAAGUAGGGUUUUACUGUACAAUUUUCAUCAAAAAUAUUAAAGUUUUAUGUCCUUCA